rnacentral:rRNA from 1 species
CCUACGGGUGGCAGCAGUGAGGAAUAUUGGUCAAUGGACGCGAGUCUGAACCAGCCAUGCCGCGUGCAGGAAGACGGCUCUAUGAGUUGUAAACUGCUUUUGUCCGGGGGUAAACGACGAUACGCGUAUCUUUCUGAGAGUAUCCUACGAAUAAGGAUCGGCUAACUCCGUGCCAGCAGCCGCGGUAAUACGGAGGAUUCGAGCGUUAUCCGGAUUUAUUGGGUUUAAAGGGUGCGUAGGCGGGCGGAUAAGUUAGAGGUGAAAUCCCGAGGCUCAACUUCGGAAUUGCCUCUGAUACUGGUCGGCUAGAGAGUAGUAGAGGUAGGCGGAAUGUAUGGUGUAGCGGUGAAAUGCUUAGAGAUCAUACAGAACACCGAUUGCGAAGGCAGCUUACCAAGGUACGUCUGACGUUGAGGCACGAAAGCGUGGGGAGCAAACAGGAUUAGAUACCCCUGUAGUC